GUUUUAAAGAGCCAAGGGAACGUUGGCAUACAACCAAAUAACACCUCAGUGAAUCCGAGAGCCAGUUUUAAGGUUUGCAAGUCCACCAUGGUCAGGCAGAAAGGAUGCUGAACCCCCAAAAAGUGCAACUAUAAUGUGACUAAUAUCGGUUCACCCUCACUGAGCUGACCUGCAUGGCAGCAUGCUGACCUCAUAUGAAACAGAAAAAAUGAAACCCAGUAUAAAAAAUGAUGCUCCGUUCUCCUGCCAGAUUACACCGAGGAAGUCUUGGUGGAGGACUUUAAGAUCACUGCAGAGAAGAGUGGGAGUGGAGGUGUAGGUGGAGAAUGCAGUAAUGUAGGUGAAGCUUAUAUUAAUGCCAGCACUAGUUCUGUGGAUGGUCUGGUUCAGCCCGUCAGCAUGAUGACAAAGAAGGCCAAUGUUAAAACUGUGGUGAGCAGAUUCAAGGGCAGGUACGUCUGUCUCUUUGCUUAUUUAUUUAUUUAUUUAUUUAUUUAUUUAUUUAUGUAUUUUCAAAAUAAAAGCCAACCUUUUCCUAUCUGUUGGUUCCUUCUGAUUCCAGGAAAAUACAUAAGGACAGCUUGGACGUGCUGGGAUUGAAAGAGAAGGAUAAACUGAUGUUUGUUUCUCAAAUAGUUUACAACUCCAGCCCUGUCAAAGUUAUUAGAAAGUCUACGACUGAUGGCUCCAUUUUCACUUCUUAUGUAAAGAUGCUGAGUGUCUUUGCAAAGGGGAGCAGUAAGGUGGAGACAAGCUUCACUGUGCCAGCAAAAUCCAUCUUUGCUUACGGCCUGGUGGAGAUAAAGAUUGAGGAUGAGAAGCUGAAGAUCUCAUGUGAGCCGUGGACUCGUAGCUUACUCGAUUGGCUCCUUGGUGACGACGUAAGCAAUCCAACUGUGCAAAAAGUAAAAGAAGAACUGGAAAUGAAGGAAGCUCUUCUGCAGCCGCUGGCAGAUCUUCCUGAGUCGACUCGUUGUGAUCUGCUGCAAACACUCAGCGAGCUCGUAGAGGAUGGAGACAAUCUCUCUCUGCUGGAUAAAACAUCCUCUGCUCCUCUCAGCUGGAUCACUGCAGUAAUGGAGUGUUUGAGUGUGUUCAGUCUGAGGCUGUCUCUUCCUUCAUGGACCUUCUCAUUGUCUCAAACAUCUCCACAAGUGAGCAGGAUGCUGUUCACAUGUUGGUCAGCGCCCUGCACAGUUUGUGCAGCUCUGCCAGACGAAGUGCCGCCACUUCUGACUCGCUGCAGUCCAGAUACUCUGAGAGUCCUCGACCAGCUGGUGGAUGGGCUGAAGGAUGGUCGGGCCAACCUCCCAGAGUCCCUGCCCGUCCCCCUGCAGGAGGGAGGGGAGCUCCGCUGGGUGGCCGAGUUCAUCUGUUUGAACGAUCAGAAGCUGAAAGAGUUGAGUGACGGCUGGGACCGACCCGAGCUGCCCCCAGAGGUUCUGCUGGAGGUUCUGUGCCUCGCUGUGCAGGGACUCAGCCUGAUGCAGCCCACAACAAACCCUUAA
rnacentral:lncRNA from 1 species